UGCAGUCGAACGGUAACGCGAGGAGCUUGCUCCUUGGCGACGAGUGGCGGACGGGUGAGUAAUACUUAGGAAUCUGCCCAGUAGUGGGGGACAACUCGAGGAAACUCGAGCUAAUACCGCAUACGCCCUACGGGGGAAAGCGGAGGAUCUUUCGGGACUUCGCGCUAUUGGAUGAGCCUAAGUCGGAUUAGCUUGUUGGUGGGGUAAAGGCCUACCAAGGCGACGAUCCGUAGCUGGUCUGAGAGGACGAUCAGCCACACUGGGACUGACCGGCCAGACUCUACGGAGCAGCAGUGGGAUAUUGGACAAUGGGGGCAACCCUGAUCCAGCAAUGCCGCGUGUGUGAAGAAGGCCUGCGGGUUGUAAAGCACUUUCAGUAGAGAAGAAAAGCUUACGGUUAAUACCCGUGAGUCUUGACGUAACCUACAGAAGAAGCACCGGCUAACUCCGUGCCAGCAGCCGCGGUAAUACGGAGGGUGCAAGCGUUAAUCGGAAUUACUGGGCGUAAAGCGCGCGUAGGCGGUUUAGUAAGUCGGAUGUGAAAGCCCUGGGCUCAACCUGGGAAUUGCAUUCGAAACUACUGGACUAGAGUAUGGUAGAGGGAAGUGGAAUUUCCGGUGUAGCGGUGAAAUGCGUAGAUAUCGGAAGGAACACCAGUGGCGAAGGCGACUUCCUGGGCCAAUACUGACGCUGAGGUGCGAAAGCGUGGGGAGCAAACAGGAUUAGAUACCCGUAGUCCACGCGUAAACGAUAGAACUAAUGUUGAGGGUACCUCGGUUCGCAGCUAACGCGUUAAGUUCUCCGCCUGGGGAGUACGCCGGCAACGGUAAAACUCAAAGGAAUUGACGGGGACCCGCACAAGCGGUGGAGCAUGUGGUUUAAUUCGAUGCAACGCGAGAACCUUACCUGCCCUUGACAUACUCGGAACUUUCCAGAGAUGGAUUGGUGCCUUCGGGAAUCGAGAUACAGGUGCUGCAU
rnacentral:rRNA from 1 species